rnacentral:misc_RNA from 1 species
GGGUUUUUUCACAUGUAAUAUCCCCAUUGGCUUUAGAUUCUAAUCUAUAAAAUAAAUACAGCUAAUCUACAUCAUGGAUACCAAUAAAUCCAAUAUAUGACAGUUCUUCCGAAUUUCAAACUUUUGCAAGGCCUGACUGUUGUAAAGACACGGGCAUAAGCAACGAUUUCCCGUAGGCCAUCGGCAGAGACAUCAGUUUCUUCAUCUUACUAACAUAUGCCCUUUUUGUGAAGUUGUUGUAGUCGUUUG